rnacentral:rRNA from 1 species
AAUCGAACCCGGAGAUAGCUGGUUCUCCUCGAAAUAGCUUUAGGGCUAGCCUCAUGGAUCAUUGAUGGGGGUAGAGCACUGAAUGUGCGCGGGGGCCACAAAGCCUACCAAACGCUAUCAAACUUCGAAUACCAUACAAUGCAGACCAUGGGAGUCAGUCCGCGAGAGAUAAGUUCCGCGGGCAAAAGGGGAACACCCCAGAUCAACCGCUAAGGUCCCCAAGUUCACGUUAAGUGGAGAAGGAUGUGGAAUUGCACAGACAACCAGGAUGUUGGCUCAGAAGCAGCCACACAUUUAAAGAGUGCGUAAUAGCUCACUGGUCGAGUGAUUGUGCGCCGAAGAUGUCCGGGGCUAAACGUGACACCGAAGCGAUGGGUGCAUCUGAAAGGAUGCGCGGUAGAGGAGCAAUGUGCAGAGGCAGAAGCCGUAUCGAGAGGCACGGUGGACACUGCACAAGAGAGAAUGCCGGUAUGAGUAGCGAGAGGCAUGCGAGAAACAUGCCCGUCGAAAGCCCAAGGUUUCCUGGGGAAGGUUCAUCCGCCCAGGGUAAGUCGGGGCCUAAGCCGAGGACGGAAGUCGUAGGCGAUGGACAGCAGGUGUAGAUUCCUGCACUACCGAUGGAAUGAAGCAGUGACACAGAAGGAUAACUCGAGCAGGGUGAUGGUCAACCCUGUGCAAGCAUCAAGGUUGGGUUGUAGUGAAGUACGCAAUCCUAUAAGCUGAGGUGUGAUGCGGACCGAAAUUUCAGUAGGGAAGCGAGUGAGUUCACGCUGGCGAGAAAAGCUGCUAGUAUAUCCAAAGGUACCCGUACCGGAAACCGACGCAGGUGGGCGAGGAGAGAAUCCUGAGACGAACGGGAGAACCCUUGUUAAGGAACUCGGCAAAAUGACCCCGUAACUUCGGGAUAAGGGGUGCCUGCGAGAGCAGGCCGCAGAGAAUAGUCACAAGCGACUGUUUAGCAAAAACACAGGUAUCUGCGAAAGCGAGAGCUGACGUAUAGGUGCUGACACCUGCCCGGUGCUGGAAGGUUAAGGGAACAUGUUAGAGCAAUCGAAGCAUCGAACCGAAGCCCCAGUAAACGGCGGCCGUAACUAUAACGGUCCUAAGGUAGCGAAAUUCCUUGUCGGGUAAGUUCCGACCCGCACGAAUGGUGUAACGACUUGUGAGCUGUCUCAACAGGGGGCCCGGUGAAAUUGAAGUAUGGGUGAAGAUGCCCAUUACCCGCGACUGGACGGAAAGACCCCGUAGAGCUUUACUGCAGCCUGAUAUUGAGUUUCGGUAACUGAUGCACAGGAUAGGUGGGAGUCUGAGAGACAUGGGUUUCGGCUCGUGUGGAGACGCUGUUGGGAUACCACUCUUCGGUUACUGAAAUUCUAACAUAGCUCUGUGAAACCAGAGGAUGGACAGUGUCAGGUGGACAGUUUGACUGGGGCGGUCGCCUCCGAAAGAGUAACGGAGGCGCCCAAAGGUACCCUCAGAAUGGAUGGAAACCAUUCGAAGAGCGCAAAGGCAGAAGGGUGCCUGACUGCGAGAUUGACAAAUCGAGCAGAGACGAAAGUCGGGCUUAGUGAUCCGGCGGUAUUGAGUGGAAAAGCCGUCGCUUAACGGAUAAAAGCUACCUCGGGGAUAACAGGCUGAUCUCCCCCAAGAGUCCACAUCGACGGGGAGGUUUGGCACCUCGAUGUCGGCUCAUCGCAUCCUGGGGCUGUAUUCGGUCCCAAGGGUUUGGCUGUUCGCCAAUUAAAGCGGCACGCGAGCUGGGUUCAGAACGUCGUGAGACAGUUCGGUCCCUAUCCAUCGUGGGCGUAGGAGUCAUGAGAGGAGCUGUUCCUAGUACGAGAGGACCGGAAUGGACGCACCACUGGUGCAACUGUUGUCGUGCCAACGGCAUAGCAGGGAAGCGAAGUGCGGAUGGGAUAAACGCUGAAGGCAUCUAAGCGUGAAGCCCACCUCAAGAAUAAGACUCCACAAUAGACCCCUGGAGGACUACCAGGUAGAUAGGUCAUCGGUGGAAGCGCUGUAAGGCGUGUAGCUUGAUGAUACUAAUCGGUCGAAAGCUUCAUUUA